UACGAAGGGGGCUAGCGUUGCUCGGAAUCACUGGGCGUAAAGGGCGCGUAGGCGGAUCUUUAAGUCGGGGGUGAAAGCCUGUGGCUCAACCACAGAAUUGCCUUCGAUACUAGGGAUCUCGAGACCGGAAGAGGUGAGUGGAACUGCGAGUGUAGAGGUGAAAUUCGUAGAUAUUCGCAAGAACACCAGUGGCGAAGGCGGACUCACUGGUCCGGUUCUGACGCUGAGGCGCGAAAGCGUGGGGAGCAAACAGG
rnacentral:rRNA from 1 species